rnacentral:rRNA from 1 species
CCCUUAGAGUUUGGUUCUGGCUCAGGAUGAACGCUGGCGGCGUGCUUAACACAUGCAAGUCGAACGAUGAAGCCCAGCUUGCUGGGUGGAUUAGUGGCGAACGGGUGAGUAACACGUGAGCAACCUGCCCCUGACUCUGGGAUAAGCGCUGGAAACGGCGUCUAAUACUGGAUAUGUCCCGUCACCGCAUGGUGUGCGGGUGGAAAGAUUUUUCGGUUGGGGAUGGGCUCGCGGCCUAUCAGCUUGUUGGUGAGGUAAUGGCUCACCAAGGCGUCGACGGGUAGCCGGCCUGAGAGGGUGACCGGCCACACUGGGACUGAGACACGGCCCAGACUCCUACGGGAGGCAGCAGUGGGGAAUAUUGCACAAUGGGCGGAAGCCUGAUGCAGCAACGCCGCGUGAGGGAUGACGGCCUUCGGGUUGUAAACCUCUUUUAGCAGGGAAGAAGCGAGAGUGACGGUACCUGCAGAAAAAGCACCGGCUAACUACGUGCCAGCAGCCGCGGUAAUACGUAGGGUGCAAGCGUUAUCCGGAAUUAUUGGGCGUAAAGAGCUCGUAGGCGGUCUGUCGCGUCUGCUGUGAAAUCCCGAGGCUCAACCUCGGGCUUGCAGUGGGUACGGGCAGACUAGAGUGCGGUAGGGGAGAUUGGAAUUCCUGGUGUAGCGGUGGAAUGCGCAGAUAUCAGGAGGAACACCGAUGGCGAAGGCAGAUCUCUGGGCCGUAACUGACGCUGAGGAGCGAAAGGGUGGGGAGCAAACAGGCUUAGAUACCCUGGUAGUCCACCCCGUAAACGUUGGGAACUAGUUGUGGGGUCCUUUCCACGGAUUCCGUGACGCAGCUAACGCAUUAAGUCCCCGCCUGGAGCCCCCCC